GUAUAGGCAUUAUCUUCAUCUGGCUGUGACAUCUGUUAUCCCAUUGAUUGGCAGGGUUGAUUUGGCCAGUCUAGUUGGCUACACAAGUGUCCUUUUUUCCUCCCUCACUGCUCAUAUGUGUACGUUCCUAAGCUGUGGAGUUGGUCAAAGAGGACUACCUUCCCAGAUAGGGGAGGAUGGGCCUUGACUCAAGGAUAUACGAGUAGCUGCACUCCCCUGCUAGAACCUUCAAUCAAGCUCUCAAAAUUCUUAUUACUUAAAUAUAUUCUUUUUUUUUGAAAGUUUAAUAUUAUUU
rnacentral:snRNA from 1 species